AUUGAACGCUGGCGGCAUGCUUUACACAUGCAAGUCGGACGGCAGCACAGAGAAGCUUGCUUCUUGGGUGGCGAGUGGCGAACGGGUGAGUAACGCAUCGGAACGUACCGAGUAAUGGGGGAUAACUGUCCGAAAGGACAGCUAAUACCGCAUACGCCCUGAGGGGGAAAGCGGGGGAUCUUAGGACCUCGCGUUAUUCGAGCGGCCGAUGUCUGAUUAGCUGGUUGGCGGGGUAAAGGCCCACCAAGGCGACGAUCAGUAGCGGGUCUGAGAGGAUGAUCCGCCACACUGGGACUGAGACACGGCCCAGACUCCUACGGGAGGCAGCAGUGGGGAAUUUUGGACAAUGGGCGCAAGCCUGAUCCAGCCAUGCCGCGUGUCUGAAGAAGGCCUUCGGGUUGUAAAGGACUUUUGUCAGGGAAGAAAAGGGGCAUGUUAAUACCGUGCUCUGAUGACGGUACCUG
rnacentral:rRNA from 1 species